rnacentral:rRNA from 1 species
UUGAACGCUGGCGGCAUGCUUUACACAUGCAAGUCGAACGGUAACAGGCCGCAAGGUGCUGACGAGUGGCGAACGGGUGAGUAAUACAUCGGAACGUGCCCAGUCGUGGGGGAUAACUACUCGAAAGAGUAGCUAAUACCGCAUACGAUCUAUGGAUGAAAGCGGGGGACCGUAAGGCCUCGCGCGAUUGGAGCGGCCGAUGUCAGAUUAGGUAGUUGGUGGGGUAAAGGCUCACCAAGCCAACGAUCUGUAGCUGGUCUGAGAGGACAACCAGCCACACUGGGACUGAGACACGGCCCAGACUCCUACGGGAGGCAGCAGUGGGGAAUUUUGGACAAAGGGCGCAAGCCUGAUCCAGCAAUGCCGCGUGCAGGAAGAAGGCCUUCGGGUUGUAAACUGCUUUUGUACGGAACGAAACGGCUCUGGUUAAUACCCGGGGCUAAUGACGGUACCGUAAGAAUAAGCACCGGCUAACUACGUG